GAAUAAUAUCAGCAUGCCUGAGGAUCCUGAGCUAAGAAACAGCAGUUAUGUGCAAGUGCAAGAUGUUGUCAAUAAUGCACUGAACACUCUUCUGAAUGAACCUGGCAAGCAAGUUUUCAAACCAAAGUCCUCCAACUUCACGAGCACUUCAAAUCAGAUUCAUGGCAGGAUGGACUACACCUUCCAGGAUGGAGAUUCCAUACAACCAGUUAGCUUCCU